rnacentral:rRNA from 1 species
GAUGAACGCUGGCGGCGUGCCUAAUACAUGCAAGUCGAGCGAACAGAUAAGGAGCUUGCUCCUUUGAAGUUAGCGGCGGACGGGUGAGUAACACGUGGGUAACCUACCUAUAAGACUGGGAUAACUUCGGGAAACCGGAGCUAAUACCGGAUAACAUUUAGAACCGCAUGGUUCUAAAGUGAAAGAUGGUUUUGCUAUCACUUAUAGAUGGACCCGCGCCGUAUUAGCUAGUUGGUAAGGUAACGGCUUACCAAGGCGACGAUACGUAGCCGACCUGAGAGGGUGAUCGGCCACACUGGAACUGAGACACGGUCCAGACUCCUACGGGAGGCAGCAGUAGGGAAUCUUCCGCAAUGGGCGAAAGCCUGACGGAGCAACGCCGCGUGAGUGAUGAAGGGUUUCGGCCCGUAAAACUCUGUUAUUAGGGAAGAACAAAUGUGUAAGUAACUGUGCACAUCUUGACGGUACCUAAUCAGAAAGCCACGGCUAACUACGUG